AUUGAACGCUGGCGGCAUGCCUUACACAUGCAAGUCGAACGGCAGCACGGGUGCUUGCACCUGGUGGCGAGUGGCGAACGGGUGAGUAAUACAUCGGAACAUGUCCUGUAGUGGGGGAUAGCCCGGCGAAAGCCGGAUUAAUACCGCAUACGAUCUACGGAUGAAAGCGGGGGACCUUCGGGCCUCGCGCUAUGGGGUUGGCCGAUGGCUGAUUAGCUAGUUGGUGGGGUAAAGGCCUACCAAGGCGACGAUCAGUAGCUGGUCUGAGAGGACGACCAGCCACACUGGGACUGAGACACGGCCCAGACUCCUACGGGAGGCAGCAGUGGGGAAUUUUGGACAAUGGGCGAAAGCCUGAUCCAGCAAUGCCGCGUGUGUGAAGAAGGCCUUCGGGUUGUAAAGCACUUUUCUCCGGAAAGAAAUCCUUGGCCCUAAUACGGUCGGGGGAUGACGGUACCGGAAGAAUAAGCACCGGCUAACUACGUG
rnacentral:rRNA from 1 species